rnacentral:rRNA from 1 species
GAGUUUGAUCCUGGCUCAGGAUGAACGCUGGCGGCGUGCUUAACACAUGCAAGUCGAACGAAGCACUUUAUUUGAUUUCCUUCGGGACUGAUUAUUUUGUGACUGAGUGGCGGACGGGUGAGUAACGCGUGGGUAACCUGCCUUGUACAGGGGGAUAACAGUUGGAAACGGCUGCUAAUACCGCAUAAGCGCACAGCAUCGCAUGAUGCAGUGUGAAAAACUCCGGUGGUAUAAGAUGGACCCGCGUUGGAUUAGCUAGUUGGUGAGGUAACGGCCCACCAAGGCGACGAUCCAUAGCCGACCUGAGAGGGUGACCGGCCACAUUGGGACUGAGACACGGCCCAAACUCCUACGGGAGGCAGCAGUGGGGAAUAUUGCACAAUGGGCGAAAGCCUGAUGCAGCGACGCCGCGUGAGCGAAGAAGUAUUUCGGUAUGUAAAGCUCUAUCAGCAGGGAAGAUAAUGACGGUACCUGACUAAGAAGCCCCGGCUAAAUACGUGCCAGCCGCCGCGGUAAUAC